ACUAGAAACCGACGCCGAUCAGUCGUUACAAGAACGGUAUCGAAAGCGCUUGACAAUAUUCAUUCUCCUUCGAGAAUCUUUCUUAUUUAUUCCGUUUCCAGUGAGAUAAUGGUGCACUCAAAGUCCGCGAUAUUUUCAGUCAUAGUAUUAUUCGUCCUAUUGUCUGCGAAGCCAGGAAUAUCUCAAACCGUAACGUCCGAAGCGACAACGGUUCAAAUCGCAUCUGAAGCCUCAUCUCAAGCUGCACCUAAAGUCACAUCCGAAGCUACACCUCAAGUCACGUCCGAAGCUACACCUAAUUCCUCAUCUGAAGCUACACCUAAAAACGGGACUUCAAAACUCAGCUCACAGUUGGCGGGGCGUUUUGGAAUUAUCGAGGCACCGCGUCUAAAGUGUGGUCCAAAUGAAGAGCUGGACGAAGGUGGAGUAUGUCGGCAACUAUUGUGAAGGACCAAAUGUUGGAGGACCUAACGGAAGCAGAGAACACAAAUUUGCAUCGAGCCAGCAAAGUAACUCAGGGAAGUUCCAUGCACAUUGAAAUACUUAUUCAUCAGAUGACAAACACGAGAAAAUAAUUAAUACGAGGAUAAAGGAAUACACCCCGGAAGAUUCGUCGGUAUCUUUUUUACUUAAUAAAAUAUAAUGGCAUCGUGAUUAUAACGUGACACGUAUGCUAAUAACGAAUGCCGAUACAUAUGUUUAAAAUCUAGUUUGGUGGCUCGAUGAAUCCCCUACCCGGAAAAAUAUACCUGUCUAUAAUGACAUAUCCCUGUGUGCGAAUGAAUAUAACCGGUAUAAAUACUAGAAACCCACGCGGAGCAGUCUUCACAAGAAAAGUUACUGGCAUGCUUGACAUUAUUUAUUCUCCUUCAGGAAACGUAUUCAUAUUUAUUCGGUUUUCCGUGAAAAAUGGUGCUUUCAAAGUGUAGGGCUGCUACGAUAUUACCAGUCGUGAUUAUAUUCGCCUUUUUGCUAGUGAAGCCAGGAAUAUCUCGAACUGUAGUGUUACAAACGACAACGAUUCAAACUCCACCUGAAAUCCCAUUUGAAGAUGUAACACAAGCAACGACAGAGGCCACAUUUAAAACUAAACCUAAUGUCACACCUGAAGCCCCACCUGAACACUGGACUUUUCCACCGAUUUUCCCGAAUAUGACUGUGCUUUACAGCUUUAUCGUGGCACCACGUCUAAAAUGUGGCUCAAAUGAACAGCUGGACGAAAAUGGAAUAUGUCGACAAACGUUGUGAAGGAAUUCGAUGAACCUAGUGGAAGCAGAAAACACAAUGACCACGAUGCCUAAGAUUUGGAAAUCUCUUAUCCGAGCACUACAUUCCAAGGGUCCAGGAAAAGAUUAACAGAGAAAUCUAACAGACAUUCGAAAAAUAUCCGAGACAUUGUACCCUCUGCGUGUGAUGACAUCUUAAAUGUGACGAGAAAUAAAAGUAAAUGUAGUAUUAGUAGUAUUAGUAUGUAAUAAACGGUUGUAAAACAUGAA